GACGAACGCUGGCGGCGUGCUUAACACAUGCAAGUCGAACGAAGUGGCGAACGGGUGAGUAACGCGUAAUCAACCUGCCCUUCAGAGGGGGACAACAGUUGGAAACGACUGCUAAUACCGCAUACUGAAGGAGGGGAUUGCGGUUGGUUAGCUAGUUGGAGGGGGAACGGCCCGCCAAGGCGAUGAUCAGGAGCCGGUCUGCGAGGUUGAACGGCCACAUUGGGACUGAGACACGGCCCAGACUCCUACGGGCGGCAGCAGGGGGGAAGUUUCCGCAAUUGACGAAAGUCUGACGGAGCAACGCCGCGUGAGUGAUGACGGCCUUCGGGUUGUAAAGCUCUGUUAAGCGGGACGCGGUACCGGAAUAGAAAGCCACGGCUAACUACGUGCCAGCAGCCGCGGUAAUAC
rnacentral:rRNA from 1 species